GCAGUUGGAAGGACAUUGAAUAAUAAGACACUUGAGGAGACUUAUAGGUUGAUUGAGGAGAUGAUGAACAAUAGUUACCAAUAGGUGAAGGAGAGAUCUUCAUCAAGAAAUAAUACGGGUUUACAUAGUAUUGACAACUAUAUAGCUCUAUCUACACAAAUUGAGGCCUUAACUAAAAUGAUAGACAACAUGAGUAUGGUGACAUCACAAAUAGUGCGAGUUCAAAAUUCUGAAGUUCAACAAGGGGGUCCAUCUUAACAAGCUGAAUAAGUGGAA
rnacentral:lncRNA from 1 species